CAGCUGCUUUCAAUCUGAUUAUGUGCAGGAUUCUCUUCUCUUGACAGUCAAGCUGAAUAUUUUUGGUUUGUGGACAAGUAGAAAACAUUUAAGGAUGUCGUCAUUGUGGGGUUUAGGGAAGACUAGCAUUUUUUCACAACUAGGCACAAAUGUUGUAGUGUUGUUGUAAGAAAAUAUAGUUACAACCAUGUUGAUCCACAGAUUCCUAAAGUUGUUUUCAAUGCAGUAACUAACUUAUUAGUAAACUAAUCUUUGUAGCCUUAUAUAAUUUUGUCAUCUAUUACAUUGCUCACAGUGCAUUUACAAUUAUGAUAUAACUCUAAUAGAUUCCUUUAGCAAGUGUACAGGUUUUCUUUAGCCUCAAAACAUCCAUUUACAAAACCUUCCCCUCCCCCUGCUACAUUUCUUCCUCUGCCCCUUUUUGCCCCUCUGUCCUUUUCUCUCUCUCUCUGUGUCUCUCUCUGUGUCUCUCUCUCUUUUUCUCUCUAUCUUUCUGUUUCUCUGUCUCUAGCCACUGCAAGCUGUGCCUCUCUUUCCUGUGUGCUGGGGGCCAGCAGAGGGGAAGUACACUGAGAAAGAAAAGCACUGUGGCAGUUCAAGUGCGCCGGUUUAAAGACACAGCUGGUUUCAGUAAUGGGGAAUAUGACGUGCGGAAAACAGUGGUGAGCACGGGCAGAAUAAUGGAAUCCUGAUAAGCCACUUGUGCACAUGGAGACAGUAGAGCAAUCACUUCACAAUAAAAGGAGCCAAAUUAAAAAAUUGCUCGCAGGAAAACAGCGAAAUGGAGAAAAAUGUCUCCUCCCCUUUCCCCUCUCUCCACACACUCCUUUUCCCUCCCACCUUCCUUUUCUUUCAAUCUGUCCCUCCCUCUCUCCUUCAUUCCUACCCUGCAUGUAUGCACACAUACACAGAUUUACGCACGAUGACUGAUCUCCCUCUAUCUCUUGUCUUCUCUGUUUUCUCCUCUCUCCCUCUGUACCACCAGAUUGUGACUAUUUCUUGCUCUAACGUAUGGUGGAACCAGUUCUGUGCAGCUCCAGCACAUGCUAAUCACAACCAUAAACUGAGCAACGGCAGCAGGAGCGGCAGCAGCAGCUCCAGCUCCUCCUGCCUCUUACUUUACUGCGUGUGACUUUUCUUCUUGCCCUUCCGUUGCUUCUUUUCCUCACAGAACUGAUACUUCUGUUCUCCAUAAGGCAUGUUUCAAUGACCUGAGCUUGGAGAAGUGUGGAAAGUAGAAGUCACGUCUUUGGAAGAGAAGAGGCGGCAGUGACUGAAAUGCGACAAGCUUGGAAGGAAAUAGAGAUGCAACGCUGCAAGUCCAGAGGAAAAGCUCCAAGUUCGGAGUAAGGACGAAAAAACGUGUUGCAGAAAUGAAGUUGGAAUCAGGGGACGGAAUGCGGUAAAAGAAACCCCAUUUGUGACCAAGACUACACCUGUAGAUGUGUGUCCCAGACGACGACCUCUUCAUGCCUGAAGAGAAGCAGACACAUAUUUGACAUGGUUGAAUCUCAAGAUUUGCAGCCGUGUCUGCAACAGCAACCCUGCGAAGACAAAAGGUGAGGAGCAGCACGGAUGUCGAUGUUAGUCAGGUGGGUAGGUGGAGAGAAGAAUAAUGGAAUCAAUACUGUUGUCUGUAACCUACCUGCCGCUGGGCUCUGUGUCUGGCCCCGGCGUAGACCAUGAGAAGGCGAGCGAGCUGAUGAGGAGCAGAGGUUCACUCUGAGCAGGAGAGCAGAGAAAAAGGAGCUGACAUACGGUGAUUGACUCUUUUCUUAUUCAUUAUUUCUCUCAGAAUGUAAAUUCUACGCUCAAAUGUAAAUUUUUAUAUAGAGAUGUGAUACAUUUCGAACUUGUCCAUUUGCUGUAUGCCUGCAUGUGUGCAGUCCUCCUGCUGUGUAUUUUCAGGCUUAGCUGUGAUGUGUUUGCACACAUUGAAAAGCCGUUUAAUUAGCAUCCGCGGCGUGUGUUGUUGACAGGUCAUGUCUGCGUUUCACAUUGGGAUUUUCAUCUCGUUUUAAUUGUCACUUUCUUGCCCCGGCGUCUUACGUGUAAAUCUCAGAUGAAACAAUUUGACUGAUUCUAAUUACCUUUCUUUCCACCAGGAAGCUGAGUAAGUAGAAGUCGCAGCUGUCAGGCAACGACGGCGUCGUACAGAAUUCAUUCAUCUUCUGCUGCUGCAGCUACAGAGAAGCUGUUCAGCCCAGACAUGUCCCCUUCUCUCUUGUGGUGCAAUUUCACCGCACCGUCUAAAAUGUAGGUGUUUUAUGUUAAAUCAACCUCCACUGCAGACAAAUCCAUAAUUCAUCCAUAGGUUGUUGUAUGAAAUCUAACCUGGAUUUUCCUCUAAUUCCUAAUCCCAAGGCCUGUUGCACAUGUCAGUGCAACCUGUAGGUUCAGGCAGGGUGCAUCAGUGCAGCUCAGUUUGAUGCAGAACGUCAUGCAGCUCCAGUGUAACUUCAUUCAUAUUCAUGCCAAGAUGAUUUACAUGAUGAAAACGUGUUUCCAGUGACAGAUUUCCCAAUGAGUCAUCAAUCAUCCCAACAUUUCAAUUUACUCACAUCCUGUUUUUUCGUUGAACAUACGGCCGAAUCGACUCUUUGUCAUUCUCGCUGUCUGCCACUGGGUGGUAUCUUUCAUGAAAUACAUUUUCGAUAAAAAAAUAUAUAUUUUUUUUUAAUAUUUAAAAAAAUUAUCAAAAAGAGAAGUGUUUUUGCUUCAAUUGCAGGACGACCGACAGUAAAUGCCUUUGUUGUCCUAGUUUCCCAUUUCACCUGGUUUUUCUUCAUCUCCAUCGGCAUAACUUUGAAAAAAUAUUCUACGGUUACAGGUGAGUAGAAUAUCCCUUGACUAGAAAAACUGCCACUGCAAAGCAACUAGCAAAGAUUGUAACAGUAAAGAUCUAAGAAAUUGAAAGAUGAAGUGUAGAAAGUGUAAUUUAAGAAAGGAAAAAUAAUCUGGAGGCAAAUAUUAUCCAGAUUGGAUGUAAGAACAGAAUAUACAUUUUGCCAAGUAUUUUUAAAGCUGUUUUAAAUGUAUCUGUGUACAUUUUUUUUUGUCAGUACAAUUUAGAAUUUUAUGUUCAAAAUUAUUUGAGCUCUCCUAAGUGACCCGUUCUUCCUUAGUUUACUUCGUCUUCGCCGCAAUCUGCUCAGCUGCACUGUUGAAGGUAUUUACUUGACAAAAAUGUUCCUGUAAUUUUUUUCUUUUUUUUAAACGAAGCCAAAAGUGAGUAAAAUGUAGAGAAAUAUUUUUUGAUGUUUUAAUUGCGCUGAUGAGUUUUGCAUUCGUUCUGCAGCAGGACAGCAGCGGCCACUGCUGCAGAAUCCAGGCGUCAGAUGAGGUCACGUCUUUGUCUGGGUGCAGUGACUCUGCGUUCUUUCUUUUUUCUUUUUUAAGACCUCUCUGCUCAACUAUUGGGAGAUUUAUUUUUUAAUUACACUGCCCUGCCGGGUAAUAAAUCAUCCUCUGUGUAUUUUAAUUUCACAGUAUGCCCCUCUGUCCCUGAGACCCUUAACCUGUGAGGUCAAAGCAGGUCACAGGUGAGGUCCUCGGGAACAGGGCUGCAUUCAGUUUCAACAACCUGGUAGUAAAAUGAUGGACCAAAAAGAAACUUGUGAAAUAUUUUUACUUUAAAAUAUUCACCAUCUUCAUUGGUUUUCUUAGUGUUGCAGCUGCAUGACUCCACAGUUUCCCUGUCGUGUCCUGGACCUGACUCACCAGGUUGGAGGAGGAAACGAUGGACUUUUCUCUGGCAGCAGAUCUCUCUCAGGGGGCCGACCCUGUUGGCUGGCUUUGUGUUUAAACCCUUGAUACAAGGGCCAAUAGGAAGACAGCCAAGGGUCGUGACCCCGCUUCAAUAAUAUCAUCUUGGAAAAUCAAUCAUUGUGGUCUCUUUAUUUUUUUUGUCUUGUUUAUUCUUGUGUCAAAUAAAAUAUUUUCACAAAUUUGUUGCAAUCUGUUAUUAGUUUGUUAAUCUUCUACGUCUUUCAUUUUAAAACAAUUUCUUUCAUGUUCUUGUCGAUCGAAUGGGGAGACAAACCUUUUUCUUAUUAAAAUUUAAAUAAAAUAUUGGGUUUUUAAUUUUCUAUAAUUUUGCGUACUCCCCUUAACACGUCUAUACACAUCUAAACGUGCAACGGGUGAUGCAGCACGUUUGGGGUAAAAUCCAGAUGGUAGGGACUUUCAUUGAAAAAAAAACUACUGUAGAACUCUGUCAUGUUGCACCAAAAUGAUUAAAAAUUGAAAAUGUGUAUUUCGAACAUUGUGUAGAAAAUGACAUGAUCCCUGAAGCCGUCAGCCCGGGGCUAAUCAUCUACCUUAGAUAGUUAACCAGUCCGUCGCAGGGUCGUAUAUAGAGUGGUGUCAAACCGACUCAAGGUGAAUAAACAGGUACAUCAGUUUUGUAGUGAACCAAAGCACUGAGGUAAAACCCUGUAAUAACGGAGGGACACCAGCAGUUACUCCUGGGUAUAUAAACCAAUGACCUUCUAACUGUAAGGCAAAGGCAUUACCCACUCUGCAGUGGCUCUCGGCUUUUGUAGAAUAAGACCACAGAUGUUACAGGCAGUUGUACAAAGGAACACUUGACGUUUUCUGUCCUGAAUGUUGGGCUCGAAGAAGCAGCUUUUAUUUUUCUGUAAACGCUGUGAGAAUACUGCUGUUGUUGUAGGAAGACAUUAAAUGUGGUCGACUCAGAGACCACACACCUGCAGUGAUGUAACAGACAAUAAGAGACACACACGGAGGAACAUAUUUGGGAUUAUCCAUGUGAGGGGGUGGGGUGGGGGGCUCAGCAGCCGUCUGACUUCAGCAGUCCUGGAGCAGACUCUUGCCUAAUAUUGAUUGGCUUGUCUGCGUGGAGACAGAUGAAUGCAUUAGUACCCAGCUCACCCUGCUAUUGGAAAUAUAUUAAGUUCAUGUAUUAGGCACCCUGUCUGGUUGCCAUGGAGAUGCACCGGGAGUGAGGGAGUGAGGGGGGUGGGAGCGGAGGGGGAGGACGGGAGACGAGUGGGGGAUACAGGAUGUGAUGAGGCGGCCGACUUGAUUUGUAGUCCCUCUCCCUCUCCACCUGCCUCUGUCACUCGUGUGUCCUCUCCAAUCUCCGCUCUGUGUUUCUCCUCACUUCAUGUUCUCCUCACCCGGGCAUCCUUCUCUCCCCCACUUUACUUUUCUGAACUCCCAUCAGGACAAAUGUGCACUCUCUCCAUCUCGUUGCACACUGUAGAUUUUGUCAUUUCUUUUGUUCCCAGCCCUCACCCCUCUCUCUCCCACUUUCUCUCUCUCUCUUUCACUCUCUCUUCCUUUUCGUGCUCCCUCUCUCUUUCUAUCUGGUGCCUUGUCUGUUCUGUCUUCCCCACAUUACCAGACUAGACUCUCAUUUCUCCAGGGUUUUCUUGCAGACGUUUCUCCCACACUCCAUCCCUGCAUGUACUGUACUCCCUUCUUUUCAGCCCACCCCCACUCCCACCACCACCUUGACUGCUGCUGCUGCUGCUGCUGCUGCUGCUGCUGCCUCUCCUGGUUCACUCCAUCUCUGUGCUCUGCAGUAAAACUGCUGCAUUGAUACAGCAGGAAACAGAGGCUGGAGACAAUAGAAGGGAGGGAAGUAAAAAGGAAGUCGGGGUUGCUCGUCUCUCAAAUCCAAAGUUGUUACACGAACCAGGAGCAGAAAUAGUUUUAUUUUAUAUUGGAAUUUUUUUGGCUUUAGCAUAAAAAAAGUAACAGUUCAGAAAUGAUCCAAUUUAGCUGUGCAGUUACAAUGAGUAACAGUCUCCAUCUGUGCUGCUGUUACAUUCUGACCGAAUGAUUUACAAAUGUUGAGAUGAUGUUAACUGUUAACUGAUCACUGCUUUUAGAGUGAAUUUUAAAAAAAAUCAACAAAUGACUGGUACGGCUCUGACGGAAACCAAACUGCACAGAUAAAUGAGUCGUUAGAGCUUCAUGCUUGUUAAAUAAGGUCAGAAAUGAGAGAGAGUAAAAAAAAAAAAAAAUCCGAAAUGAUGCCCUGAAGAAGACAAUUCACCAAAUAUUUCUGUCUUCCUCCUCCCCCCCCUCCUCCUCCUCUUCUCUCUUCCCAUCUAUUAGCCACAGUGUAUGAGGAGAGGUUACAGACAGAAGCAGCAGACAAUUUCACAGCAGCUGCUUCCAAAAUGCCUAGAGGUGAGACAUGCCUCCCCCUUCCCUCCCUUCCCCUCCAUCUUUUCAUCUACAGUGAGGACUACAUCCAGUUAUUGCUGCUCCAUCUGA